rnacentral:lncRNA from 1 species
UAGAAUACACGAUUAGCCAGUGAAAAACUCACAACUAGUCUAUCCAGUAGAGGAAAGUUCUUGUGGGCAGUUUGAAAGCCUCUAAGAGAAGAUAGAAGUUUGGAACCAGAUGGCAGGAGACACGAGGAAGGCUGCAGAUGCUUUGAACUUGUCUACUGGAGGAAUAUGCUAUGUUGUGUCUCUGUGCUUUCUGUGAUGGCAGGAACUGGUGAGAGUAUGACCCACUUGGACAUUACUAGU